CCAGCAGUGUCAGGGCCAGCAGCAUCAGCAGGAGGCCAGGGUGCUCAGCGCCCCCCCGUCCCUACAGGAUCUUGUGUCCAGUGACUCUGGCAGAGCAGGCUCCCUGGCACUAGGACUGCAGCGACAGGCAGGCUGCAAGGCAGAGCUACCUGCAGUCACAUGUAACUGACUGCCACAUAGAACGGAUAGCAAAACAGAGAAGUUGUCAGCGAGUGAAACUCUCGUUGGCGUAGUCUGAGAAGGCGUCAAUGUAUUCCUGCACCACCUUGUAGCAGAAUUCGUACUGUUCCUGUAGCAUUUGGGAGAGGAAAAGCAAAGCAUUAAAUGAGGAAAGGGAUUCCAACUUCCGGCCAGCCAUGGAAAUGGAACUGUCGAAUCUGCCGGCUCUUGUUUUCCUUGUAGGAGAAAAACAAUGACAACUUCACUCCACUGGACCAACCUAAGUCCAGGUGCAUAG